AAUCACUAUUAUUGUCAUAAUGGUUUCCCUCAUAACCCUAUUAAUCAAAAGUUCUUUCCCUUCUCAUUUUCAAUUUUGAUAAAUGACAAUGUUUGGGAUGCAAGUUUGUAAAAAUGUCUCACUUUCAUGACUUGUGUGAUUGGAAGAAGAAACCUAGUCUGGAUUGCAUCAACCAUAGCAUUUACAUGAUUUACUUUUACAGUUCUUCCAUUUCACUACUAUAUGUUCAGUAAACUACAAUUAUUCUCAUCAUGUGUUUUCUUUGUAUUUUAGGUCUAGUCUGAGGUGAUCCAUUUUUUUUUCAUUCGUCCGCAGUUCUGAAUUAAGGCUGGUAUGUGUAUUAUGCAUCGCCAUGCUGAGUACUAGAGGGAAGGAAUAACUCAAAUUGUGUUUGAUUCUGAACAAUGGUCAUUUGGGAAUCUAAAAAUUAUUUAAAAUAAAGAUUCAUCUCCUGGUACAUAGCUUGACUUGUCCUGAGCUAGCAAGGAUUCUAGCCAUGGAGAUCAGAAUUGAGUGCAAAUAUCAUUCAGGACUUUCUAUCUCAUGAUCCAUGACUGUUAUUCUGCCAUAGGCGUCUUCAUUUUAAAAAAUCGAUAACUGAUUGGUGAUUGGGAGGCCAUGCCUUUAUAAACUAAAAUGUCAAUUACGGAAUGAAGGCUCCAGAAAACAAGACCAUGGAAAUGGAAAUUUUGGUCCAGCCCUCUACCAUUAUAUUCAGAGUGAAAUGUAUAGAUGGGUUUCUACUGGAUAUUAAUUCCAACUCUCCCAUCUUGAGGUUUCACGAGGAAGUUUUGCAGCUGACUAUAAAAGAUGUCUUGUCUUAUAUUUGACGGUGUCAGAAAUAGAAGACGAAAAAAGAUGCUGCACUUUCGAAGAAAGUUACCUGCACUUAACCGCUAGCCACUAAUUCGAACCGAAGAUAAAAUAUUAUAAUUUUUAUAAAUUGAAGUGCAUAUCUGGGCUCCCUUCUUUUCUGUGGCCCCGUUUCCCCUUGACUUGUGAUAAGCCCGUAGGGGGUCAUGCCCCUACUGU